GUACUCAACUCAUUGCAAACUCUGCAUAGUGUGGUGUGUUACAACUAAAUCUAGUUAUCUAAAGUAUUGGAAAACAAUAUCAUAUUCAUAUCCUGAAUAAUUGAUUUGUUG